AAAGUAUCUAUUCGUUACAAAGUACUCGUUACUUACGAAUACCGAAAGUAACGAUUACUAUACAGAGAGGCAAAUCGUUACUUUGAUUACUCUGAUUACUUCGUUACUUCGUACCAAUCGUAUCAGAGCGAGUAACGACUAUUGUAUCUACAACCAGUACACUUGAUUACUUUCUACCAAUCAUAUCCCAGCGAGUAACGGACGGGACCGGUAUUUUACGAGUGUUAUCGAAUAUCGUUAUCGGUAUGAAGCGUUUUAAGGGUGUGAGGGUGAGGAGAAGAUAGAAGAUGAACCAGAUGGAGGUAUAAUGGUAUACGUAAAAUAUGUAAUGUAUGUCAUUAACAAAGAUCGAAUGCGAGAACCCUAUAUUUUUAUCUAGAGUAGUAGAGAUAUGAGAAUCUGAGAUCCAAGAUGGCGGCCAGCUUGAUGGCUAGGAUGGCGUUGAGGCCGUAGAAGUAGCCUCUGGUGAUGUACAAGAAGUACACCCUGUCGUUAUAAAAGAAUCCCUGUCGUUAAGAAGUACACCCUGUCGUUAUACAAGAACCCUGUCGUCAUAGGGGUGAGAAGUAGACGUGUUGCAAUGAGGCGGCUAGGAUGGCGUUGGGGCCGUAGCCUCUGGUACAAGAAGAACCCUGUCGUUAUAAAAGAACCCUGUCGUUAUACAAGAAGUACACCCUGUACAGGAUGGCGUUGAGGCCGUAGAAGUAGCCUCUGGUGAUGUACAAGAAGUACACCCUAUAAAAGAACCCUAUCGUUAAGAAGUACACCCUGUCGCACCCUGUCGUCAUAGGGGUGAGAAUUCGUGUUGGCGGCCAGCGGCGUUGGGGCCUCUGAAGAAGAACCCUAUAAAAGAACCCUGUCGUUAAGAAGUACACCCUGUCGCACCCUGUCGUCAUAGGGGUGAGAAGUAGACGUGUUGGCGGCCAGCGGCGUUGGGGCCUCUGAAGAAGAACCCUAUCGUUAUAAAAGAACUCUAAGAAGUACACCCUGUCGCACCCUGUAGGGGGUGAGAAUUCGUGUUGGCGGCCAGCGGCGUUGAGGCCUCUGAAGAAGAAUCCCAUAGGGUGGGGCCUCCGGGGGCGGUAAAAAUUGCGUUAUGUAACAAAAUUAGGCAAUGUAGAUACGCAAGCCAAAAAGCAACGAUUUUUUAGUAUUAUAAUUUCAUACAAACGAAUGCACCCCGCCUGCAUUCUACAAUGUGCUUUUAGAAUUCAAAGAAAAAUACGUGAGUACCUCCAAGUAAUAAAAAUAUAUUGCAAUGUGGACGCAACGGCAACUAUAAAUAUUAUAUGUCGUUCCCACGAGUGAACCGGAUACAUCCACAUUCCAAUGAUGUCAUACGUUAAUGCACGUGUGGCGAAAUGAGUGAACCGCGGGAAAUACGCUGACAGUAACUAUAAAUAUUAUAUGUCGUUCCCACGAGUGAACCGGAUACAUCCACAUUCUAAUGAUGUCAUACGUUAAUGCACCAACUAUAAAUAUUAUAUGUCGUUCCCACGAGUGAACCGGAUACAUCCACAUUCCAAUGGUUUGCAAAUUACUAGUUAAAGGAUGUACAAAUUCUAUAAAUAUUAUGCACAUGUCGUUCCCACGAAUUAAGUGCAAAUGUUUUUUAAUCGUUUGCAAAUUACUAGUUAAAAGAUGCAAUUAAAACGUGAAUGUGUUCACGAGGCAUUUCCGGAGUAACUACUAUUUAAACUGAAAUCGGGGGAUAGCCAUUUUAUAGAGUUUCUGUCAGUCACAAACUACACCAAGUAAUCGUUUUGUGAGUGUGAUCAAUACAACUAAAAAAGUAAGUAAAUAUUUUUGGUAUUUAAUUAUUUGCUACUUCAGAAGUCUUACGUCUUCUUUUAUGUUUUACUGUUGCAAUUUUACCUUAAAGACCUGGAAUGUACUAGCCUAUUUACCUGUAAAUGCUUUUUGUUUCAAGUCUUCUUGUGUAUAUUCUUAUGUAAUUUUUGUAAGUUAUGAGUGUGGUUUGCGUCCUGGUCCACGUUUAUCUUCUAUUACGAGCUGUAGAAACUAGUAAUGAGUUCCGUGUGCGUCCUGGUCCACGUUUACUUUCUAUUACGAGCUGUAGAAACUCAUACGUAAUGCAUCCUAUUAUAUUACUAUGAUGUUGUAGUUUCUACUGUUUCAUCAUUUUCAUGUUUUUUCAUAUUUUAUGUUUUACUGUUGCGAUUUUACCUUAAAGUUCUGAAAUCUACAUAAUAGCGUAUUUGUCGAUAAAUGCUUGUUUGCUUCAAGGCUGUGCAUAUUCUUAAGUUAUGAGUGUGGUUUGCGUCCUGGUCCACGUUUAUCUUCUAUUACGAGCUGUAGAAACUAGUAAUGAGUUCCGUUUGCGUCCUGGUCCACGUUUACCUUCUAUUAUGAGUUGUAGAAACAUCCUAUUGUAUAACUAUGAUUUUGUAGUUUCCGCUUUUCUACCGGUAAAUGCUGUUUGUGUUUCAAGCCCUCAUGUGUGUAUAUUUAGUUAUGAGUUGCGUGUGCCUCCUGGUCCACGUUUAUUACGAGUUGUAGAAAGGCGUACGUAAUGCAUCCUAUUAUUAUAGAAUAAUGAUCUUGUAGUUUCUGCUUUUUCAUCAUUUUAAUGUUUUACUGCUGCGAUUUUACCUUAAAGACCUGAAAUCUACAUAAUAGUGUAUUUACUGGUAAAUCAUUUUUUUCAAACCUUCAUGUGUGUAUAUUCUUAAGUUAUGAGCGUCGUUUGCAUCCUGGUCCACGUUUACCUUCUAUUACGAGCUGUAGAAACUCGUACGUAAUGCAUCCUUAAAAUCUUUUUAAAAUUUCCCGAGAAUCUGGGGAAAAUUGAUUUUCUAUCUUACGCUAAUACACAGGCUCUUAUGGGAGGCGCUGUUGCCAGAUGUUGUGAAAGGCUCAGUUUUGCAGUAGAUCUGGGGAAAUUUUAUUUUUGUGUGCUCGUUCCUGUAUCGCCCUUAUACUAUGAUUAUGUAGUUUCUGUAUGUUUACCAGUUUAAUGUUUUGUAAUAUUUUAUAUUUUACUGUUACAAUUUUACCUCAGCGUAAUGCAUCCUAUUAUAUUACUAUGAUGUUGUAGUUUCUACUGUUUCAUCAUUUUAAUGUUUUUUCAUAUUUUAUGUUUUACUGUUGCGAUUUUACCUUAAAGUUCUGAAAUCUACAUAAUAGCGUAUUUGUCGAUAAAUGCUUGUUUGCUUCAAGCCUGUGCAUAUUCUUAAGUUAUGAGUGUGGUUUGCGUUCUGGUCCACGUUUAUCUUCUAUUACGAGCUGUAGAAACUAGUAAUGAGUUCCGUUUGCGUCCUGGUCCACGUUUACCUUCUAUUAUGAGUUGUAGAAACAUCCUAUUGUAUAACUAUGAUUUUGUAGUUUCCGCUUUUCUACCGGUAAAUGCUGUUUGUGUUUCAAGCCCUCAUGUGUGUAUAUUUAGUUAUGAGUUGCGUGUGCCUCCUGGUCCACGUUUAUUACGAGUUGUAGAAAGGCGUACGUAAUGCAUCCUAUUAUUAUAUAAUAAUGAUCUUGUAGUUUCUGCUUUUUCAUCAUUUUAAUGUUUUACUACUGCGAUUUUACCUUAAAGACCUGAAAUCUACAUAAUAGUGUAUGUGCCGGUAAAUCAUUUUUUUCAAACCUUCAUGUGUGUAUAUUCUUAAGUUAUGAGCGUCGUUUGCAUCCUGGUUCACGUUUACCUUCUAUUACGAGCUGUAGAAACUCGUACGUAAUGCAUCCUUAAAAUCUUUUUAAAAUUUCCCCAGAAUCUGGGGAAAAUUGAUUUUCUAUCUUACGCUAAUACACAGGCUCUUAUGGGAGGCGCUGUUGCCCGAUGUUGUGAAAGGCUCAGUUUUGCAGUAGAUCUGGGGAAAUUUUAUUUUUGUGUGCUCGUUCCUGUAUAGCCCUUAUACUGUGAUUAUGUAGUUUCUGUAUGUUUACCAGUUUAAUGUUUUGUAAUAUUUUAUAUUUUACUGUUACAAUUUUACCUCAGUUUUAGUUUUUUAUCAUUUCAAUGUCAUCUUUUAUGAUUUACUGGUGCAAUUUUCCUCAGACCUGCAAGAGACAGCGUAGCGUGGUAUUCGUGUGUACAUUCUUAAGUUAUGACUUUCGUGUGUAUCCUAGUCCACGUUUACCGGCUAUUAUGAGUUGUUACAACUCGUAUGUAAUGUAUCCUAUUAUAUAGACAUGAUUUUGUAGCCGUAGCUUUUUAUUACGUCAAUGUCUUUUUUCAUAUUUUCACUGUUGCAAUUUUAUUAUAAUUUACUUCAAAAUCAUGUAAUUUUUAAUAAUAGAAUCUGCAAUGUAGCAAAUGAACUUACAUUCGCAAUUAUUUCAGAUGGAUCUAAACAAACUAAACAAAGUUUCUGUUGUUAAGAAAGAAGACAAACCGAUUACAAAACUACAGCAACUGGAAGUUGACAAACCAUAUAAAAUAAUAAACAGUAAAAUCGUCAACACUGCAUUUGGUCAAUCGGUGCUUCUAGAAUUAGAGGAAAGUGUGGUGUUCCUACCGAAGCGGGUUACCGAGGACUACGCCCCCUAUAUAGAUCAGUUGAGGACAGAAAAGUACGCUGUCGUAUUCAGAGGCCUGGUGAGCACGUCGAGCAAGCUAAAUCCUGCAGCGUCAUUCGAAAUAAUUGAAAUUUAAAAAACUAUGUGGAAGAUGGAAAGUCUACAGAAUUUAUGCAUAAGCUCUAUUAUCGAAAACAUACAUGAAAUUUCAAAAUUUAUUAGUAAAUCGCCUUUACCAUGGGUAUUAACGGAGGAAAUAGUUCAAAAAUUUAGUAAAAUUAAAUGGAUGCAAAUUAAAACUAAUCCCGUUCCUUAUGAACAUUUUAAAGUUUGUGACUUUGAGAAUCAUGAUCUAGAAUUGAAUAUUUCACCUGAACUUCGUCAGGCAAUUAUAGAGUGUCAGGAUUUUGAAACUUUUGCACUUAAUGACUACUAUUGCUUAUGGUUUAGGUAUUAUCAAAUACCAAAAUAUAAUUUGCUACUCUGUCGACCAUGUUACAGGGUAUUUAAAAUAAUUUUCUCUGAAAAACAAAAAUGUCUAAAAGCUAAAUCUGAUAAUUUUCAUGUUAGUUGUUUAGCUUCAGACUUACAUUUGAUAUUUAGAAAAAAAUCAUCCUGGUGUCAAAAUGGUUUUUGUGAGGUACUCUUUGAACUAAAGGAUAGAUAUGAUUGUGAGGAGGACUUACACAGGAAUCGUAAUAAAAAAGUAAGAUUCUCAGAUAUUUAAGAUGCUAAUAAAAUUUAAACCUUUUGGUAAAGACGAUCUGUAUAUUUGUAUCAUUUUCGGUAAACAUAUUUUGUACGUUUAUACCUGUAAAAUGUAAAAAAAACUUUCUUGUAAAGUAAUUACUUACCUUUUAGUUGUAUUGAUCAUAAUCACAAAACGUUACUUCGAUUAAACGAAUACGAUUUGCGAUUACGAUUAUCGAUUACUAAUAACGAAUAAAAGACUUUCUUGUAAAA